UACGUAGGGACCAAGCGUUGUUCGGAUUUACUGGGCGUAAAGGCGCGUAGGCGGCAAUUUCAAGUCAGUUGUGAAAUCUCCGAGCUUAACUCGGAACGGUCAACUGAUACUGUUUUGCUAGAGUGCAGAAAGGGCAACCGGAAUUCUUGGUGUAGCGGUGAAAUGCGUAGAUAUCAAGAGGAACACCUGAGGCGAAGGCGGGUUGCUAGGCUGACACGUGACGCUGAGGCGCGAAAGCUAGGGUAGCAAACGGGG
rnacentral:rRNA from 1 species